rnacentral:rRNA from 1 species
AAACCAACAGGGAUUGCCUCAGUAACGGCGAGUGAAGCGGCAAAAGCUCAAAUUUGAAAUCUGGUUGUUUUUUGCAGCCCGAGUUGUAAUUUGAAGAGCAUAACCUUGAGCACUUGAUUCUGUCUAUGUUUCUUGGAACAGGACGUCACAGAGGGUGAGAAUCCCGUGAGGUGGGAUUAAGUGUUUUUGUAGGUUUUGUUCGACGAGUCGAGUUGUUUGGGAAUGCAGCUCUAAGUGGGUGGUAAAUUCCAUCUAAAGCUAAAUAUUGGCGAGAGACCGAUAGCGAACAAGUACAGUGAUGGAAAGAUGAAAAGAACUUUGAAAAGAGAGUGAAAAAGUACGUGAAAUUGUUGAAAGGGAAGGACAUUAGAUGAGACUUGGCGAUUUAGGCACAUCCUCCUCUUGUAGGGGGUGCACUCCUGAAUUUUUGCUGGGCCAGCAUCGAUUUGUGCGGUGGGAUAAUACUUCUUGAAUGUGGCUGUUCGCAGUGUUUAUAGCUUGAAGAGAUACUGCCAGUAUGGAUCGAGGACUGCGUCAUUUUAUGACUAGGAUGCUGGCGUAAUGAUCUAUGC